rnacentral:tRNA from 1 species
GCGCGGGUAGCCAAGUGGUAACGGCGCAGCGCUUAGGACGCUGUCUCGUAGGAGUCCGCAGGUUCGAAUCCUGUCCCGCGCA